ACCAUAUUUUCGAGCCCUGAUUCAUGUCAAACACGCAUAUUAGGGCAUACCAUAAAACUCUAUGUAACGAAAUUCAACAGGCCAAGGACGUGAUACUUUUUAAGUAAUAAAACGUUUUCGUUAUACAGAGGGAAGGCAUAUUACGACCAAUAUUUAAGAAAGAAGUACUUUACUUUAAUUUAUUUCAAAAACGUCAUACAUACGAUUUUAAAAAGUCAAAAUAAGUUAUUUUUGCUUGACGUUUUUUAGUUUGCUAACAAACUUCCCGCCAGAGUCUCUGAAGAAGAUUCACAGUGAGCUCAGUAGGCGUACUGCUACGCAGCCUCUUUUAUGGAAGUGAGCAUUCACUUCGACAGCAGUAGCGAUAGCAGUUACCGGUAAUACCAACGCUGAGUUCGCUAAGUGCACGGUCAAAGCUGGUCACGGAAAGUCUGUCCUGACUAGAAAUAAAUCAAGCUCAUUUGAGUGCCUGGGGAUAUAGGAAUCGCUGGUAACUGCAUAGCGGAUGAGCUAGCAAGGGGGAUAUUAUAUCGCUGCCUUGGAUAUUAAUCUGCAUCAAAUUUCGUAAAGAUACUUUGUCAAAUUUUUCCAAGAUCCUUGGACAAUAAUUCGUGAUGACAAUUUAGUGCAGAUAAUUUGUGAAAUAAAAAAAGUUUUCCUUACAAAGACUUUAUUUUGAUCGAUUAGUUUGUGUGGCAGCUGUAAUGGUAUAGAAAAGGACGUGUGAAAGUUUUCAGAUCGAUAUCUCAAAAGCUGAGGGACUAGUUUGCGUUUAAACAAACAGAUAGACAGACGCAUAGAGCGAAAUCAACCUUGGUCACCAUCAUGAGCUGAAUGAUGUGUUGUGUGAAAAGCAGAGACAGUCGCUUCGCAAAGCUUAAGCAAAGCAAAUCAUUUUCGGUAUUGUUUACGUUAUAACGAGUUUAUCGUUAAAUGGAGUUUCGUUAUGUGGAGUUUUCGCUGUAUGUACAUAUGUACAUAUGUAUAUGCGAGACAUAUGGCUUUUUCGUACAUCUGUAACUGUUGUAACACGAGGCCUACCUCCUCUGUGAACUGUGUGGAUGUUCUCAGUCCGAAUAAUACGGCAAAUCGUUGAUUUAUGUAUGGAAUAUUUUAACGAUAUUUCUUUUUGCGUUUCAUUUCAUUCCAUUUCUAAAAUCUUCUUUUAUUUUUGCUUUAAAGUCCGAACUGUAUUUAUUGACUCCGAUUUUCAACCGAAAAUAUAAUAUUACAAAGAUCACAAAACACGGAAAAAUUUGUUAAUUCUAGAAACGCGAAAGACUGAAUGCAAACUCUUAGUAAAAUAAAAACGCAUGAAGUUCCACUAAUUAUGUGGAAUGCGAUUACCGUUAUAACUUGCUUUUUGUUAAGUAGCAAAAUAAAAUAAAAAUACAGCAAAUAUCAGUUGCGAAUGUUUUGAA